CCAUUUCAGAUACUGCUAACAACAGAAACAGCAGUAAAAGUGGCUGAAAGAGCAACUUGGAUUCACGCCACCCACUGCAAACGAGUGCCAAAGCAACCAAAAGGCCUCAAACCAGGCGAAGAUGGAGAUCAGUGAUUGAGCUGAGCUUUCCCCUGCCUUGUGUUCCUAGGGAGGGAGGGGAGUGGAGGUCUCUGAGACCACCUAGAACCACUAAUCUCCCAAACACUCACCGCGGGCACACUGAAACCAACAGAUGGCUCUGGAGAGGUGACGGACCGAGACAAAACGGAGGCGUUGUUCUGCUCACUGUCAUCAUUUCCAAACAUGAAAACAACAAACUUGGCCUGACUGAGGGAAAGUUCCAGGCCCGAAGAGGAGGAGAUGCACGUCCUCCCUGUCAGCCCGGCUGGGCUGAAAGACAAUGCAUGGUAUGCAACCACGAUGACCACUUCAAGAAAAGUAACCAAUCAGAGCUGUUAUGCGUGUGCACAGCUCCCUCAUGGAGUGGGGAACUCCAUACCAGUGAAACCCAGACCAAUAAAUGUUUCAGAGACACUAGGAGCCCUGUUAACCUUCACUCAAGGGUUUCCCAGGGUGGGCCGAGAAGUUAAGGAUAUGACCAAGACGCUUAAUUGUGUAACAUCAGCAUGGUCAACUUUAGGGUUAGGUUCUGGAACACGUCUCAGAUAACCACCAGAUGUACCUUGGACAUGGGUGUCUUUCUAUAGAUCCAGAUUGAGUGUCCCCUAGGGAACACUGAAAGACACCAUGUUUCUUUGAUGAGAUAGGACUCCGACCCUGAGACUAAGAUAAAAGCUGCAUGACCUGUUACGCUGCAGCUCACUCGGAUGAUACUCUCGGAUGUGUAUGUGUCCCCUUGAAUUCCUUCUGCAGAAGACUUGAAUAAAAUUCACCGAAAGACAAGUGUUUGCUUUUUCCCACCACACCGUCUACAUUAAAUCGACUGAAAAUGCACAUCUAGUGGCCGUUCAUGUAUACUGGGCAUCCACGUGCCAGUGUAAACUUGAAGCAGAUGGCGAUUUGGCGAAAGAAUAAAGUACUACAGACGAAGAACCGCAACAGGAUUUUAUUUUGCAUGGGCCUGAAUGCAACACGGGAGUUAAAAGCAGCGGUGGUGGCGGAAAACAGACUGGGAGUUGUCGCAAAGUAAACAUGCACAAUGUGCGAGCCAAUAAAUUGUGGAAAAGAAGUGAUCUCAAGAGUCAUCCUUCACACACCCGACCAAACCCGUUACAUAUGCAACCAUCUGUCUAACACGCUGUGAGGAAAACUAGAUCUGCUUCAGUUUGCCUAUAAGGAAAUAAUCUCCGUGCCAGACUUGCUGCACAGGUGUCUGCCCCCGGAGAGCUGCCCGCAUGUCUGAGGGAGCAUGACUACGAUUGAGGGGAUAAACCUGAGUGAAUGCCCAGGGACAACAGAUGCAAACUCUGUUGCAAUUAUUUGAAGUGUGUACUGUCAAAUAAAUAGUGAUUAAAUGAAAAUGAAAUGUACAUGAAAAUGUUAGUUUUAUAAUAUUAAUAUAUUUGUAUCAUUACAUAAGUUAAACUGCUACGUAAAAUUGUUAGCAAUAUUGUUUAGUUGAUGAAUAAUAAGAAAAUAUUGGAUAUAUACUUAUUGACUGUUUUUGUAAGCACCCCAAACAGAAUGACAAUGUCAACAGGAAAAAACACCUAUUAUUCACCAACUAUUUUAGUUGAAAAGAAACAUGCCAAAUUUGAUGGCUGUCUCCAAAUAAUGUCAAAAAGAAGGCAAAAAAGAAUGUAUAAAUAAAAAAGGUGAAAACGAUUAUCGAAUAUAUUUGUAGUCCUGAAACGUUUCUACAGUUUGAAUGGCUUCAUAAAUGUUUGCUGCAACGCUAUCCUGUGUAAAUUCCCUUCAUGUCAAGUUAUACAACAGUUAUUUUAAGAUAUCAUGCAAUAAUGAUGGAAGUUUAAAUACUGAUGCCAAACAUAGAAUAUUAAUUUUCCACAGAAAAAAAAAUAAAGUUGGGAUAUGUUGUUUAGUUUACAAUUUCCAAAUAGUGUUUGAUAAUGUAUGUCCUUGCUCUUUGCAUCUGUAUAAUACGUGUACGUGUCCACUAGUCAAAAUAAUUGCACAUUUACUUGGUAAAUCUUGUUUAAAUUAGUCCCACUACAUUACUGAAAGAGAUAUGUAGAGUUACCUUGUAUUUUUCCUUGAGUUUAUUCCAUUUCUUCAUAGCUUGUUUGGGUGUGAUAGCCAGGUCAGACUUGUUCACAAAGACUCUGAAAGAAAGCAAAAAGAAGAGAGGACAACUUAAACCAUUACUAAUAUUACUACUAACAAUAUUUAUCAUAUGUAUUACUGUCACUCCUCUACUCCCUGCAUGCAUGUACUGUCAUACACUUAAGUGCAAUACUGCCUCCAUAUAACUUUCUGCAUUCAUAUCAUAACCAAAUCAUAAAUGUCACCUGUAAUAUUUAUUUUGUCUGUCACUAGUAUUUUGCACUAAAAAGUAACUUACACAACUUUGAUUUUUAGUUUUAUAUUUGCUUUCUUGGCUUCAUAGUAUUUAUUUGUUUUCUUUCAUUUUGGUGCAUAAAACUCUUCUGAGAGGCUGGCAAAUUUGACACAACCAAACGCACCAAUCGACCAAUUACCCCCAGCGUUAAAACCUUUUUUAUACAGCAGUCUAUAGUACAAACACAGCAAAGCAUAACAUUACUCACUCCCAUCCAUGAAAUGAAUUCUGGGAUAUCUCUGCCGUCAAGUUCACAAAAGUUACCAACUGAUGCAUCCUCGGUAAAAAGAACACUUCCGGGUUUUUUAACCGUUCUUGCCAAAAUGCAAAACUUAUUGUUACUUGUAUUGGGACAGUUCUUUGGCCACAAAAGAUGACGUUUCACAAGAACACAAGAACACAAGUACAGAGAAGAACACAGAUUGAGAAAGGCCCACUAUUUAGCUGCAGUCGCUGUCAAUUGCCGUCACUCAAUUGGAGGAAUCCAGCACCGGCCGCGCCAAUCAUCGAGCCCAGCCAGUGUUACAUUCAGCCUCCUGGCUUCUGGUUUCUGCCACGCUGCUGUCAUGGUAACCUAACGUUACACCGCGUGUCAUCUAAUGAUUGGCUGUUUCAUAUUUUCUGUUUAUUUAACGGCCACAUAUGAGCGAGAAAACAGCUGAAUCUAACAUUAAAGACAAUCUGUGACUGUACAGUCUGUGAGUCCUUUCAGGCGUUCACUGACGCAGAAAUUCAUUUUAUUAUCAUACUGCAUUACACAAUAUUGAAAUUACAUUUAAACAUUUAAAGUU